rnacentral:rRNA from 1 species
GAUGAACGCUGGCGGCGUGCCUAAUACAUGCCAGUCGAGCGAACAGACGAGGAGCUUGCUCCUCUGACGUUAGCGGCGGACGGGUGAGUAACACGUGGAUAACCUACCUAUAAGACUGGGAUAACUUCGGGAAACCGGAGCUAAUACCGGAUAAUAUAUUGAACCGCAUGGUUCAAUAGUGAAAGACGGUUUUGCUGUCACUUAUAGAUGGAUCCGCGCCGCAUUAGCUAGUUGGUAAGGUAACGGCUUACCAAGGCGACGAUGCGUAGCCGACCUGAGAGGGUGAUCGGCCACACUGGAACUGAGACACGGUCCAGACUCCUACGGGAGGCAGCAGUAGGGAAUCUUCCGCAAUGGGCGAAAGCCUGACGGAGCAACGCCGCGUGGGUGAUGAAGGUCUUCGGAUCGUAAAACUCUGUUAUUAGGGAAGAACAAAUGUGUAAGUAACUAUGCACGUCUUGACGGUACCUAAUCAGAAAGCCACGGCUAACUACGUG